rnacentral:lncRNA from 1 species
CAUUUUCAUAUUUUCGUGUUCUAUUCUCUCCUUUUUCCCUCGUCCUUCACGGCUGCCUGAGAAUGUCUGGUCGUCGGCAACCCUAGAUGAAGGUGAAGGGGCAAAAUGAACGCUUUUGGAGCUACGUCUGCUAUAUGAAUCACUCAUUUUCUUGUUUAUUUUUCUUUUGCCUCUCCACCCACCCAUCCAAGACGUCUUGCCGUCAUCUUUUCUUGUCUGAGAUAAGAUGAGAUGACUUCGACGUGCGGCAGGGGAACUGCUCGGAGGUCCUGCAGUGUCACUGUCGUUCCUUUUCUGCCUCGGGACUCUUUGUUUUCUUUCGUCUUCCUCUUCGUCAUCGCUACUGGUUGACAAGACGUGUCUCCCAACAGCAGAGCGUUUGUUAGCGAAGCGUUCGAGGGGAGUUGACACCAGUUUUUCUGUGCUCGGUCCUGCAUCGCUGUUUGAUGAACUGUUUUCUCCUUUAAAAACACGCUGUGCCUCUAACUUGUUUCCUAGCAGUUUAUCUCCUCGAUUCGCGGUGCAAUUGCCUUCGGGUUCGUGUUCGGCUUCAGUGUCACUGUUUGAUUCACGUAGACUGUCAUCUCCAUGUGAAGAUGAGUCUCUUUUGUUACCUUCGCGAGGACGCACGUUUACGGCGGGACUGCUCGACCUCGAGCUGCUGUCUGUCUCUGAUACCGGCGACUCUGUGUUCAUUCUUUCUGGCGGUGAAGUGGAACGAGUGUCUUCUUUCCCUCUGUCUAUUGCUUCGUCACCUUCUCUGCUCUUCUUGUGGCUGUUGUCACUCCCCUCAGACUCACUAGAAUUGCUUCCACGACCGUAGCUAUCGCUACCAGAGCUGGAGUCGGCCCCUUCGUACUCUCGUUUCGUUUUUUUCUUUUCUCUGGCUACAAGCAUGCUUCUGUGGUUCUGUGUCGCCUGCAGCUGUUUCGUUGUCUCGUGAUGGUCCCUGUCUCCCUUUGCUGUCCCCUUUUGCCCCGUUUUCUUUUCUUCGUCCAUGCUUGCAGAUGUCGCCGCGCGUAAUCCGUCUCCAAAUGCCGCUUUCACCUUUGUUAUUCUUUCUUCCUCCCGCAGUUCCGAACCUUUCAGCAAUGUCGCAAUUUCUUUUCUUCGUCGUGCGUUUUCCGCGCGCUGCUGAGCGACCCUGUCUCUCGCGAGAGCGAGACUCUGUCGAUGCUUCUUCCGUGCUUCUUCCCACAAAAGUUCAGAAACGCUUCUUCGUUCAUUUUCACCAGGUUCGUUGCGCUUCGCUCCCUCGAAUUUAUUGCCCUUUUGUCUACUCCCCCUCCUCACUUCCAUAUGUGUCUCUUCCUCCUCUCGCUCUUUCUCGUUUCUCCUCAGAACUGCUAAACACGGCUGCCUUCUCUCUCUUGUUUCCGGUUCCUCGCCGUUUCUAGUGCUCCCCACAGAUGCACAUUUGUUUCUCUUUAGACGUGUGCUGAACGAACGAAAUGCCUGUACAUACCGUGUCGCGCUAUUGCACUCAGAUCUAGGGUAUGGAAACUCAUCAAUGCAGACAGAGUGCCGCUCCUCCGGGUCUGUCGUUGUUUUUGUCUUCAUUUCUCCCCCAAACUUUGAAGAAUCAGAAACACUGCAUACCGCGUGGGGGCCAGAGACACUUUCUGGCUUGGGAGGUGACAAGUUGGCGUUUCUGUUUCCAAAGUGGUACACCGCGUCCCUGUUUUGAGGCGACAAAAUUCGAUGUUUGCUCGUCUGGCAAAGACUGGCCCUUCGUCCAGCUUGUUCCAGCACCGGUCCUCCCACAUCUCGCGUUCUUUCUGUCUGGCGUUUCUCUCUCUGAAGCACUUUGGGAGCAGAGCCAGAGAUAUCGCUUUGAGUUUCCCUUGACUGUUCUCCUCUAAGACAGCCGACCAAGUCUCUCUCACUCUGCCAAGGGGCCGAAUGCGACACACCGACCUUUUCCUCGUCCGAAUCUCUGACGUUUAUCCUCCCCUUCUGCUCCGUUUCCUCGAUAGAAUGUGACCGUAGAUGUUUCGCGCCGCGCUCAUCUUGAGAAGACGUUCUGCUUCUGAGGACUCGAAUAGUCGCUUUCUGGAGCUUCCAGAGUUCGGCCAGUGAUUGACACGUGGGCUGCGGGGACGACCAUGAUGACAGACAUGAAGAAGAACAGGGCCAUAGCGACAUGGGAGAGGCAGAGGGGCAUGAAGAACGAGCAGAAGGGAAGGAAGAAGAGGGAAAACGAUAUAGAUUGGCAUAGACUUGAUUUUUCUUCUCUCGAAUGCCCCUGUGUGGGCAUGCUCCGUGCUCAGGUAGUAGAUGGACCCGAGAGAUUGUCCGAGAGUCUCUCUCUGCUUCGUCUUUUUCUCUUUUCCUGCCAUCUUCUUCACGGCCCCAACCGAUGCGGGACGAAGGACGCACGUCUGCUGUCUGACUGUGCUGUGACAUUGACUUUUUGCCUUCAUCUAUGAAAGCGCCGGCGUUGAAUUUGUCUCUCGCCUCAUAACAUGAUGCCGUGGCGUCUUUCUGACGAUAGCGAAGGAAGCUGCUCCAAGUUCGCUCUUUGUCUUCCUGGACAUUUCCUGUUCCUUCUUCGUCCUGUUCAGGUUCCCUCUUUCUCUCAGGCUUUCCUUGUCUCUCUUUGUCACGCACCCCGCUUCCGCCCUCGUCUGCCUCAAUUUUCACCCAUGAGUUGUCCUCUAUUUCUGCGCAGCCGACCUGCUCGCGUUUUUUGAUAGCUUUCCCUUCUUGCCCCUUCUCUUCUGUUCUGUCUCUUUCCUCUCUUUCUCGACCCCUCCGUUCAUUCAUCCCGAUGCUCCACGCACUAUGAGGAUAUUCGCCGGCAGAGACAGAGCACAUCAGCCGGCAGAACGCGGAGACGAGGUUCCGUAUCUCCUUUAAAUGUGUUUCAGCCUUCUGAGCGUCUCUACCCUCUUUGCUUUGGUGGAACCUAUCGUCUCCAGUAUUGCGCAAGGCCGGUAAAGACGACGCCUUUUUCAGACGAGGGGGACCAAAAGAAGCUGUCGCCCACCUGGAGCUUGCUUCUGUUCUUUGUCUAGGGCCAGCAGGCAUCGAAGAGGAUUUUGAAGACCCUUUUUCGUCUUUUAGGUUUAAAUCACGCGUCGUUCUUCUUGGACCUUGCUUCUCCGCGAGGCUUUGUCCUCCAGAACGCUUCCCUUCUUCUUCCACACGUUCUCCCUUCGCUCCUUCGCUUCGCCCUUGGGUUCCUGUGUCACGCUCUUUUUCUUCGUUUUUCUGGGCUAUUCCCCCUCUCGUCUCUCCGUCCGUCUCCACUCCUUUACGCCCUCUCUCCUCUCCCUCCCUGUCUCCGUUCUCCCCGCCCCUGUCUCCUGCCCCUUGUGCCAAUCCGCUCUUCGCCGCCAAGAGGCCUUUUGCUUGUUCGCAAAUUUGUCUCUCAGGCUGUCCUUCACAACUGCGGGAAACCGAGGAGGAGCGAUGCGAACUCACGGGCAGGACAGGCGAAUCAGAGGAAAGCACCGAAGAAGCCGGGGCAGGCACAGUGAGGAGACGAGGGAGACUCCGGAAGCUUGGGAACCCGUAUCGAGGUAGGAAAGCGAAUUUAGUUUUUGUGAAACCUAACCUAUACAUGGACGAGCCUGGACGAUAAAGCGGCGGUUCGGGGAUAGUGAAAGAUGUGCUCGCUGCUCUCUCAAGUCGAAGAGAACUGCGAGGCGGCAAAACAACCACGCCCGGUCUUUGGCUAACGUCUAGAGUGUCUAGACUCCAGCGAUGAGGCGUACAGAUCUUCUGGCAAGAUGGGGAAAACAACGAGGGGCCUCUCUCUGCCAAACGAGGGGAGCAACUCGUUGAAGGGUACGGACGAAUAGCGGGGCCUCCCGGAUUCGAAAGUGACUCCACUGCACCCGGUGGGGGGCGCAGGUGAGCAGCUGCGGGAGGAGCAUAGAGAGGAGAACGGAGGGGCGAAGAGAAGAGAAAGGGGAAAGGGAGGACAGGACAUGAAGCCGACGAACGGAGACAGGACGCCUCCUUUGUUUUGGUGGAGACAGGAGAACAAACGGCGCGUGGAGACUCUGAAGAGCCACUGGAGGUGUGGCGCAAGGAUGCGGACUGAACGGGGAGGGAAGGCGAGUGAGAAGAAGAGAGGCUGUGCUUCUGCACUCGAGCCGGGUUUCCUGACUGUCUUCCUUUCUCCUUAGCAUGCAACGAAGAGGAAGAGACAGAUGCCAAAAGUGGAUGACCUGAUGACCCACCACUGGGACGGCCCGACAAUGAGGCUCCCCUCCGUCGUCCCGUGGUAGAAGUCGAUGUUGAAACAGAAAUGCUAGAGGACAAAAUCGUUCGCUUUUUGCAGUUGACACUCUUGUUCGUGUUCCUGCCUUCUUUCCGUUUUGAUGAAGGAAGGGCGGGAGUUCGAGUAACAUCCUCGCGGUUUAAUUCGCCGCCUUCCCCACUCCUUUCACCUGAGAGAGAUGAAAUACCAUCGUGGGGGUCCCCUAAGGUCCUCAUUGUCAUUCUCGUUUUCGAUAAACUUUUUCGGUUUUGCGGCGGAGCCUAGGUUCUCUUCCUCAGAGCCUGUGCCCUCGCAUCUGAAGCAGAGGCCCCGCUGUGAUUCAAAUUGCCUGCACAGCGACCAGAAGCCUGUGAAUGAAAAUUUUCUCUCGGGCGUCUACGUAGCUCCCGCAGCCUCCUCGCCUUUGAAAAUCUUUUAGCGUUUAUAGUUCGUGCACAGUCCCAUAGAAACGUUUCUGACUGAUCUUAGGAGAACUUGGGAUAUAGGAAAGAGAACAACCUAGGGCCUGCUACACUUUGAUAGCAUUACAUCUUUUUGAGUUAGCUUCUGUCUAUUUGCAUCUGUAUCUACAGUAUAUCAAUCUCGCAUUUUCUUCAGAGGUGGAAAUGACCGGGUUCAAGCGCUGCAGAA